rnacentral:rRNA from 2 species
UCUGGUGGUUGUAGCGUCGUAGUUCCACCCGUUACCAUACCGAACACGGAAGUGAAAUGCGUCAGCGCCGACGAUACUGCAUUCGUGAGGAUGUGGGACAAUAGGUCACUGCCAGAG